rnacentral:lncRNA from 1 species
CUCCUGAACAUCAUGGUUUCAUCUUCUUGAUCAGUACAGUUUGAAAUUUUCUUUUCCUAGAAUUUCCAAAUUCAAUUGAAGUCUUAUGAUUGGAUGUCCUCUCUUUCAAAUGCACUUUUUAAGAUUUAUUUAUUUAUUUGACAGUUGGUUACAGAGAAUGAGAGGCAGAGGCAGAGAGAGAGAAUCUUCCAUCUGCUGGUUCCCUCCCUAGAUGUCUCCAGGUAUACCAUAUGGGUGUGGGGCCCAAGGACCCGGGCCAUCUUCUGUUGCUUUUCCAGGUGCAUUAUUAGCAGGGAGCUGGAUCAGAAGUGGAGCAGCUGGGACUUGAGCCAGUGCCCAUAUGGGAUGGCACUGUUGUAGGCAGCAGCCUUACCUGCUCUGCCACAGCACCGGCCCACAACAAAGUUUCUUGACUUUUUUUUAAAGUAGCACAGAACUAGUCAGUUUCUCUUGCUCCAUGAAUGUUCACUGUGGCCACACCCAGGCUUCAGCACCCAGAUCCAGACCAGCACAGCUGCCCUCACCCCUCACCCCUCCCUGGCUGUGCCCCGUGGUGUCUACUCUAGACUAACGACCCCACCACCGUGCCAGGUCACCUGCUCAUGCCCAUUCGUCCCAGAUGUCACUACUGAGUGGCCCCUAAUUUCGCAAAGGAAAUCAUGCAGUUGCUGUGACUGCGUGAUCUGUCAACAGUAGCUGCUGAGAGAGUGCUGAGGCCACUGACGGCGCAGGUGAAAUCACACUUCCGGGUUGGCUGAUGCUCUCGCCACUGAGCCUCUCAAGAGGCUCCGCCCCAGGGACGCAGAGCAGUGACGUCAUGAUCAGACCCAGCUUUGGCCGCUACUGGCCCCCAGCUGAGGCCUCGAGGAAGGCCUGUUUGUCUCUGGGUUUGCCGAGACCACCUCUGCGCUUGGUAAAAACCAUGAACAAUCACAGGUGACAGGUGAUGAGUGAACCAGGUCGCAUGCAGUGCAAAUCUGCGGACUUCUUCCUCCACCCCCCUGAAACCCAUGAACAUUGGUUCCCUGAUUGUGUCUGGUGCCAUUCGUCUGAUCAUCCCCAAAGCAGCAGAAUUUGAAUUCAGCUCAAGCAGGUUCGGAAUGCACUGUGCUUCCAAAACAAAUGGUAAAAUCCU